CUGGCCUGUAACACCGCUGACUACAUUCUUCUAACUUGUGUCAUCCAAAUUUCAUAAAGGAGAGGAGAGAAGGAUGCUAAUUGCAAAGGAUAUGUUGGAGUUAAUUUUAAAAUACACUUAAAAAGGAGCUUUUUGAGACCAGCAGAGACUGAGAUAUGUAGACGGACAAGUAUAGUGUUGGAAAUAGAUGGAACAACAAGACUGAGUAAUGCCUCUGCAGCGGCAGCAGCCAUUCAGCACUUGUUCCUGUUGAGCCAGGUCUGUGCCCCGUCAUCACCCCAAUAAUCCCCUCUGCUGCCUUUGCCCAAUCUUGCUGCACCGA